AUGCCUACUUGGUGCUGGUGUCAUUCCCAAAGGGGAGGCCAUCGCUGGUGCACAGGGAGGCUGGGUGGACAGAAUCUUCCUUUUUCUGCCACCCCCCAAAGCCAUCUAGUGAGAGGUGCUGCCAGCUUUGAAGGUUCCCUGCUCUCCCUGGUCCUCUGGUUCUCUUCAGACUCAUCUCGAGAGGAUGGACUGUCCCAGUGGGUCUCCGGUAAGCGCUGCAGUGGCUUCCUUAGCUGCCCUCCCUGGAUACUGGUGCACAUAAGGAUGAGAGGAUGGGUGGAUGCAAGGACAAAGGGACAGGUUUUCCCCAAGCCCUCCUUCCCGGUGAGAUCCUCUCUAAUCACUACAGCAGAACUGCCGCCCUUCCCCCAGCCAAGCAUCCUUCCCCCUCCUGCCCCCACCUCUGCUCUCUUUCCCCCAUAGCACCUUUCUGCACCUCGAAGACCCUCUCCGUUCAUCAUUGCCUUUCUCCCAUGUUAGUGCAGAGGCUCCCCGAGGGCAGCGAUCCCUUUUUUUUUUUCUUUUUUUUUUUUUUUUUUUUUUUUUU
rnacentral:lncRNA from 1 species